rnacentral:lncRNA from 1 species
UUGGAUGAGGCUGGAGGUCCGCCGGGAGCACACCUUUAGGAUGUUAUAAAAAACUAAUAGAAUACCACAAGAGUGGAAACCUUUCAUUUAAAUAUGUGAAGACUUUUAACAUGGAUGAAUAUGUUGGACUUCCAAGAAACCAUCCCGAAAGCUACCAUUCUUAUAUGUGGAAUAACUUCUUUAAGCAUAUCGACAUAGAUCCUAAUAAUGCUCACAUCCUCGAUGGGAACGCUGCUGAUUUGCAGGCAGAGUGUGAUGCAUUUGAGGAGAAAAUAAAAGAAGCCGGAGGAAUAGAUCUUUUUGUUGGAGGGUUUGGUUAAUAAAAACACUAAGAACUGUGCCAAAUGGGAUCAAAAUAUCAGCUUUAUUAAAGGUCCAGAUGGUCAUAUCGCUUUCAAUGAGCCAGGAUCCAGUUUAGUAUCAAGAACAAGAUUAAAGACUCUAGCAAUGGACACCAUUUUAGCAAAUGCAAAAUAUUUUGAUGGAGAUUUAUCAAAAGUACCAACCAUGGCUCUAACUGUUGGUGUGGGGACAGUGAUGGAUGCCAGGGAGGUGAUGAUCCUCAUAACAGGUGCACACAAGGCGUUCGCGCUGUACAAAGCCAUCGAGGAAGGCGUCAAUCACAUGUGGACUGUGUCCGCUUUCCAGCAGCAUCCCCGGACUAUUUUUGUAUGUGACGAGGAUGCUACUUUAGAGUUAAGAGUUAAAACUGUGAAAUACUUUAA